UUUGUUCCUUUUAAAAGGAAAAACUAGGUUGAAUAGCAAUCUUUAUCAAUGUUUUGGAGAACUAGUACCAGUUAACUGGAUUGAAUUGAUUCAUAAUCCAUCUGUCUUUUGCCUAUCAAACUGGUUGUUCUAAACUGUGAAAAAGAACAAAAUCUUGCGGUCAAUAGUUGCAGCCUUUUGUUUUAACUUUUUGAGUUGUACUUCAGUAUGAUAUUUUUGAUAAGGGAGUACAUUACAACUUUAGCAUGUUUCCUUGUUGGAUAUUGUUACCCAAAAUUAUAUAUAAUUACAAGCGAAAUAUGCUGCUAUAACGCAAAACAAGUGGCUCUUGCUGAAUAUGCAAUCCAUACAGGAAUUCAGCUCACGUAUGGUAUAUCUCUUUACAUCUCCCCUCUAAAGAAAAAUAUUGGGGGAAUAGUAGUUGACCCAAUAUAAUCUUUUCCUUGUAAUGUCUAUGACUCACUUUUUAUUUGUGUAACUUUCUUUUGAAACCUAACCGAGACACUGGGGCUAACGAAGAUGUUGUUCAGACUAUCAAAAGUAACUUCAUCUUCUGGCAGGUUGGUGCUAUUUCUUUCUUUCUUUUAAACUAUUUCAG
rnacentral:lncRNA from 1 species